rnacentral:rRNA from 1 species
GACGAACGCUGGCGGCGUGCUUAACACAUGCAAGUCGAACGCUGAAGCUCAGCUUGCUGGGUGGAUGAGUGGCGAACGGGUGAGUAACACGUGAGUAACCUGCCCCCUUCUUUGGGAUAACGCCCGGAAACGGGUGCUAAUACUGGAUAUUCACUGAUCUUCGCAUGGGGGUUGGUGGAAAGGUUUUUUCUGGUGGGGGAUGGGCUCGCGGCCUAUCAGCUUGUUGGUGGGGUGAUGGCCUACCAAGGCUUUGACGGGUAGCCGGCCUGAGAGGGUGACCGGUCACAUUGGGACUGAGAUACGGCCCAGACUCCUACGGGAGGCAGCAGUGGGGAAUAAUGCACAAUGGGCGAAAGCCUGAUGCAGCGACGCCGCGUGAGGGAUGGAGGCCUUCGGGUUGUAAACCUCUUUCGCUCAUGGUCAAGCCGCAACAUUGGUUGUGGUGAGGGUAGUGGGUAAAGAAGCGCCGGCUAACUACGUG